GGGGCGGGCGGCCCCCCAGCGCCACCUCCCGGCCGGCCCCGUCCAGGCCAGGCUGCGCGCCGCCAGGGAGACCCGAAGGCUCAGCGUCCCGUUGCGCGGGGAAGUCUCCAGCCAGAUGCCUCGGAGAGGCUGCCCUCUUGGCAGGUUGGCUGCCCCGAACAUGGAGGCUCCAUGCACCGCCCCCCCCCAAUAUAUCUCUUUCCUCCACGCACUUGUCUUUUAAGGCUGCCCAUCAUCUCAUGGCGAGGGAUUCCUCAGGAGGGAAGAGCCCAUUUAGGAGAAGGAAAUAAAACUCGCAUCCUAAACCUCGGCUGCCUUGUGGGAUUUUCCAGCAGAAGAAAAAGCUAAGGAAUAAAACCCGAAUAAAUCUGGAGUGGGGUCCCUGAGACGCUUGGAUGGCAUCUCGCACUGCGACUAAUCUUAUUAUUAUUUAUAAUAUUUUUAUUGAAUUUUCAAUUUUACAUUUCCAAAUAAACAUUUUACAAACUU